rnacentral:lncRNA from 1 species
CCACCUUCAGGAUCUGAUGCAUAAGAAAUGGUCUCUCAGGAACCAUAUCCAUUCAAGUAGGCUGUAAAGGGGAAGAAAGAUAAAGAUAAAUGAUUAACAAUGUUGAUAGCAUGAAGCAAGACAUGGAAACUGAAGCAAAUGUGUCAUAGAUUGCAGAAAAGUAUUUCAACCAUGAAGAUGGGUACGAAAGCUAAUAUCACGCUUAUUAUUACACAGCUGAUUAAGUAUAAAUAAGUUAAGAUAUUCAUUGCUGUACAAUAUUAGCAUGUAGGCCUAGGAUAUGGUUCCAUUCUUAGUCCAUUUGGAGAAGCCCAUAUAGUUAUUAUCUGUGGCAUAUCUUGGUUUUCAGACCAUCUGCAUAUGCCCAUAUAGUUAAAAGGCCAAAUGGCACAAAAUACAAAUUCAGAUGAGGAGAUAUUAGCAAAUAAAUGCUUAGCAUUACAGAUAGUACAUAAGAAUCAAAUUUUUGCUACUGAAGUGCAUGUCCUUUUCUCUGAAAUUAACGGUCGGGUGGAACAUAUAUAUUCACCAAGUAUAUCCCCUCUUCUUAGGCCAAUACGGCACAAUGAGGUAUCAUCUGUUUCCUAAUUAAACUGUAACCUGAAAUCUGUGUGCAUACGUGCAUGGGCAUCCAUUUAUUCCUAAUAGGAAAAUAUGCCAAAACAUCAGUCACUUUCUCUUUUGAGCUGGAAAGAUCGUUCACUUGGAUGCAUGCAGACACCUCUAAUGUAAACAGAGGAACUAAACAAUCAGUCACUAUGAUUUUAUUAACUAUGUACAUAUACAUUCCAGUCAAGCGUCUUUUUAGAAAGUGACAUGCUUAGCUGUGAUUUUCUUAAAUAUGCGCCACCAAAUAUUGAAAGGUAGAAUAAUAUCAUCAUCCUUUUAGUUCCCAUCCAUAUGGAGGAGCAUAAAGAUAGCAAAAAUGUUAGUACUCUAUGCACACCUACUGUAACUCAUCCUUUUAGGUGUUUAGUAGGACCUACUUCAUAUGUGUCUCUCACUGUAGGUGGGCAAUACAUUCCCUUGACCAGGUUAGGAAUGUCCAAAAUAUUGUUUCCAAAAAUAAACAUGAGUUACAGUUUAGUAGGACCGAGAAGGAUUCAAGAUUAUAUAAGGAGCUAGGAUACACAUUCUUAUUAAAGUUAUUGGUUCAGAUCUAUGUAGCUUUCAGGGGCCUACCAAUCAAUCCAUAUGUCCAUCCCUACAAUAAUUUCAGGAGGGUACCACUCAAUCCAUUUGAGCAUCUCCUUUUUGCAUUAAUAGAAGAGGAGCUAGCAUACCUGCAGAUGGGCUGGUGACGGUGAGGUCGCCAACAAGUAGACCUAGCUGCAGAGGACACCGUCUCCCCCAUUCUGCUGGUGGGAAACCACCACGACACGAGCAUUCUUGCCGGAGAGGCACCCUCAAUCUCCGCUGAUGGCUACUUUCCCUGAUAGCUGAGGGAUCUGCCGGUGAGGUCCUGACAACUGUUCAAAAGGAGCAAAAAAGCAAGUGUUGAUCUAUUAUUUCCCUCAUAGAGCAUUGUAAGCACGAGCAGAUGUUCGCCAAGUGUGUGUUUUAAAAUACACUGUAAUUGCAAGCAAGUAACAACGGUGAUGUAUACUUGUACAUACUUCUUCUGUGAUCUGAACAACAAAGCGAGCAACACAUCCUUAAAAAAUCUCCACACCUCUUAAAUCAGUAGGGGGAAAGGGUGUAAGCACCUAGGCGCUAGGGCAGAACAAAACGCAUUGCUUAAGCCUGCGCUUAGGCAAGAUAUGCGCUAGUCAGUGGGAAAAUACAAAGUUAACAAUUAGAGGUUUUUCCCUGGUCCUAAAUAAAAGGACUCGAAAGCCAUGUAAAUUGUGUAAAGCAGAGCAAAGAAGUAGAAAAGCAGAACAUAACUUCAGAAAAAGAAACUGAAGUAAUGGACUAAGGUAUAUGUUUUAACCAAACACUAUCAUACUUUGGAAUAUUGUUCCUUAUUUCAAGUGUACAGAAGAACCAACAGCAGCAUGAAUCACUUGCCCAUAGCAUAAAGUUUCUGCAUCAUAGCAUCAAGAAGCUGUAUCAUAGCAUCAAGAAGCACUUUCUGUUUAGUAAACUGCAAUUUGGAAGGUUAAGUUGCUGCAUCAUAGUAUCAAGAAGCACUUUUUGUUGGGAUCUUAACUUUGUCCAUCACGACAGACUGAUUACACAAGAAAGACACUGUAAGCAAGUGUUGGAAGCUUCAUAGUGUAUGAUUUGAGACGUUUAUCCAUCUAUUAUUUUCCCGUGACAAAAAGAGUGUUGUUAAACAAUGGUAAUAGUAGAAUUUUGGAAGUCUGGCAAUUACAAUACAGUAAAUGCCUAUCCUGAAGUUAAAACUAAAUAAAACCAGGGUUUAUAAGUGAAUUUCACAGAUAAUUGUUCAUGUUGCUUGAAUCAUAAUUGAAUCGAUAAUAUGAUUUUCCAUGUCACAUUAUUAUGCUAACUGGGAUUGUAGUAGAAAAGGCAGGAUAACAGUACUAUACUCCACUCUUUUUCCUAUUGGGAAGAACCACCUCUCCUAUCCCAUUCUCUGAAUUUUCAUAUAGAUAACCUUCUAUUUUCUCUUUGUUCUUUCCAUUUUAUUUCAGUAGCUCCUUCAAUUCAUAUGAUUGGUUUUGUUUCAUCGAUGGACCCUAAGCGGUUACUGUAUGAACUUGCUAAAAUGUUGAGAAUGACGCAAUUACUACAUAUAAUUCAAUAGUAGUGCUUCUGCAUUAACGUACGUACCUAUGGUAUGGAUGACUGUUUACAAACCUGAGUCAUAAUCAACAGUGCUGUUAAACAAUGGUGAUAGUAACUUAAUGUGCAGUUCACAUGUACAAAUUUGAACUCCUAUGUUUUAGCUAGGAUAUGUGUGCUAGUUAGGAAAUCUUAAAGGAGAGCUGGUAAAUAUCAAGAGGCAUAUGCAUACAACCAUAGAUGAUAAUUGUUCUGACAAUAAGAGGGCUUUCAGGUUGUUGUAGUUGAACAGGAUUCAUGCAUAUACUAUCUUGCAGGCAGUAAGAAAAUAGGAGAUCAACAUGUAUUUCCAUGCAUCAACAGAUUAUUCACAUGUCGAUUAAGAAGCACACGCAACAAGGAUCGAUAGGUUGACUAAAGAAGAUUAGUUUGCGAAAACAUACUGUGUCGUCGCUCAAGGUUUACCUGAAGGUGAGUGAGGUGGCUUGAUCUGGUGAGAAUCCACAAGAGGAGCUGAAGUGCUGCCGUGAUGCAUAGAUGGGAGAGAGCGGAUCUUCCGGGCGAGGGAGCAUAUACCUAAGACAGAGCCAGAUCGUCGAGUGUUUUCCUUUUCUGAAGAUAAAAAACAACUGUAAGAUUUUUUAUGUAAACUUCCAUGUGCCUUUGGAAUAGCGAAGCAACACUACUGAACAUAAUAAUCAUGUUUCUCGGAAGAUAUUUUUAGGAAAGUAAUGAAAUUUACUCUUUUAACCAGUUUCUCACCUAGUGUAGAAGAGGCUGCGG